GGCCCGGUAGCUCAGUGGUUAGAGCGCUGGCUUCGCAAGCCAGGGGACCGGGGUUCGAUUCCCCGACCGGGUGG
rnacentral:tRNA from 1 species